GAGUAGUAGGAGUUACAAUCUGCUAUUUCAGAAUCCAGCUCCUGUUUACGAAGUAGGACAGAAGGUUUUCCGAAGAAACUUCGCACAGUCUUCAGCAGGAGAAGCUUAUAAUGCCAAAUUAGGACCGAUGUAUAUUCCAUGUACCGUGGUGGCCCGCCGCGGAACGAGCUCUUAUGAGUUGGAAGAUAGUUCUGGCAAAAAUGUAGGAAUUUCCUCAGCGGCUGACCUAAGGCCAGGGAACGCCGAGGUAGAUGAACCUUCUGAAUUGUAAAUAGUACAAAAUGUUAUAAUUAAUUGGUAGGUGUAAUGCAUGUUGGGUUCUAUUAAAGUUGUUCGCUGUUUGCAUCAUUGAUUUAGAUGGUUUUUUUUUGUACGUAGAAUUCGUUAUAUUGUUAAAUGUCGGUUUUUGAGAGAAAAAGCUGUAAAAUGCAUUACAUACAGUGAUCUACGAAUGUGUUGUAGUUUCCCUUUUUGGGAACAGAGAUAAAAAGGUUCUAGAGUAUGAUGAAGUUCAAGGUCAGUCUAUUCGGUGUUUGAUUGUCAAUGUAGUAGUUUGUUUAUAGGUAUUCGUAUCACAGUUUAUAGUCUUCAGUCCACACACAAAUUGCAAUAGUUUUGCUGCCUGAUGUCGUAGUACGCUUAAUUAAAGGAAAACUGGUCACGGAUAUUAGAACGGAUAAAUGGAAAACUUUGAUAAGCACAGAAAAACUUUGAACGUUCAUUUUUCCUAUGAUGUCAUGAGCAGCACCUGUAAAAUUUGCCUUUAGAUUUCGCCUGAUCAACACGUUAAAAACCGCCCUCCAUCACACGUAGUCCUUUUGCAACAGCCACCAUGCCAAUAGAUUGCUUGAGUUCCACUUUAUCAUGUACAGCUCUAGCCGAGAUAGACAACGGUCGGUCGAAAUUCUCCCUCUCAAUAAAGUUGAGAUUAAGGAAGAGGAAGGCCGAUUACUGAGAGAUUAGGGUAAAGACGCUAAUAAAUGGUCUUGUCUAAAUUUCGACAAGAAUUUCUAUUUAGUUGACUUAGCUUCGGAAUAUUUACUCUUACGAAUACGAAAAUUGCGAAAGGCAAGCCCAACCCUGGGAGUCCAGCUGUACAGUUGAUUUCUGAAAUAAAUUGAGGAAAAUGGUUAAUAAAUGUUUAGUAAAAUAAAUUGAUAAAUCAAUUUAUUUUUAUGGGGAGUGUGGGGUAGUGUUACCGUUUCGGGUACUUUACCCUAGGAUCCACUCCUGAGCGAAUCGUAGGUGGUUAGGUGGAGAGCGAGAACAUAUGUAUAUACUGUUCGUUACGAAUUAUUGUCGUAAGGCUUACUUGUUUAUUGUACACAAUAUUGUAUGAAAGAUGGAUUGUAAUUGUAACUGUAGCUAAAAUAUUAGGCCUACUCCCGAAGUUCAACUGUGAAUUUAAAAAGGACAUUAAAAUGUAACACACAUAACACACGUAACACACAGAACACCUACAAAGUGGGAGGAUCAGUUGGAUAAUGGAACAACGAUUGGAAGGAUUGAAAGGAGGGGCUACGGAGAGGGGAAUGGAGGCUGGGAAAUGGGAAGGGGAGGUAAGGAAUUGGGUAUGCCAUAAGGAAAGUAGGAACAAGUCGGUCUUUUCCACUUGAGACUCGGAGCAAUCCAGACGUUUUUUCUACAAAGUGAAUAGAAGUGACAAUUUAGUCAGUUAUACAGUGGAGAAGAUUUUAUCCUCGCCUAGAUAUCCGCAAGAGUCAGGACCCAUUUGGUAUCAGCUAGGACCGUUUAGCGUCGCCAUACCUGCCUGCCGGUACGACGAUACCCGGUGAAGCACGUGGAGAGCCAUUUCUACGACCAGGCAUUUCCAAACCCUGAGCUGCUUCCUCCGUGAUAGUUACGCCCAACACCGACAUUGGGAGCCCGUUCCUCGAGCACGUUCUGCACGCUAAUACCCCUUCAAGCCAUCCCAUCUGCGACGGCGAGUGAGCAGCUAGCACCCGUUGAGAACCACCAGAGUGAUCCUUCCCGCCGGCCGGCCCCGCAUUACACACCCACACGUACACCCGUAAGUUAAUAAUAAACUGUGGAAAAUAGCUAAUAGUGUUUGGACUUCUGAUCAUCGCGAAGAGCCGACCCUGUGACCAAGAG